GCUUUUUAAAACAAAGGAUGCACCGGGCGCGGUGGAAGGCUGAGGUGGGAGGAUCGCUUGAGCCCAGGAGUUCUGGGCUGUAGUGCGCUAUGCCGAUAGGUGUCCGCACUAAGUUUGGCAUCAAUAUUGUGACCUCCCGGGAGCAGGGGACCACCAGGUUGCCUAAGGAGGGGUGAACGGGCCCAGGUCAGAAACCGAGCAGGUCAAAACUCCUGUGCUGAUCAGUAGUGGGAUCGCGCCUGUGAAUAGCCACUGCACUCCAGCCUGGGCAACAUAGCGAGACCCCAUCUCU
rnacentral:SRP_RNA from 1 species